UUAUUUUGACAGAUUAAAGUGUGAAAGAUUUAGAAUCUUUUUAUGUAAUAUUAAUUACAAAUAAUAC
rnacentral:tRNA from 1 species